UAACACCAGCGCCACAAGUGGCAACCGCUUUUAUUGGGCCUAAAGCGUCCGUAGCCGGUUUAGUAAAUUUUCUGUGAAAUCGUUAGGCUUAACUUAACGUCGUGCAGGAAAGACUACUGAACUAGGGACCGGGAGGCGUUAGAGGUAUUCCUGAGGGAGCGGUAAAAUGCUAUAAUCUCAGGAGGACCACCGAUGGCGAAGGCAUCUAACGAGAACGGAUCCGACGGUCAGGGACGAAAGCUAGGGGAGCAAACCGGAUUAGAUACCCGAGUAGUCCUAGCUGUAAACUCCGCGAGCUAGGUGUUGCGUAUUCUUCGGGAAUACGCAGUGUCGAAGCGAAGGUGUUAAGCUCGCCGCCUGGGAAUUAUGGUCGCAAGACUG
rnacentral:rRNA from 1 species